AGAAGUCGGAGUGCUGUUUUUGUUGUUGGUGAAAGGUGAGGGGAACAGCUGAUCCGUCUGUUGGGAGGACAGAUAUCUCAAGGCCAGGAUGGAAGAAUCACCACUAAGCCGGGCACCAUCCCGUGGUGGAGUCAACUUUCUCAAUGUAGCCCGGACCUACAUCCCCAACACCAAGGUGGAAUGUCACUACACCCUUCCCCCAGGCACCAUGCCCAGUGCCAGUGACUGGAUUGGCAUCUUCAAGGUGGAGGCUGCCUGUGUUCGGGAUUACCACACAUUUGUGUGGUCUUCCGUGCCUGAAAGUACAACUGAUGGUUCCCCCAUUCACACCAGUGUCCAGUUCCAAGUAAAAGGGGAUGCCUGGCUUAUAGGGACAUUACGAGGAUUUAAAAUGAAAGCUGUAGGCCAGGUGUGGUGGUGCAUGCCUGUAGUCCCAGCUACUCACAAGGCUGAGGCAGGAGAAUCUCUUGAACCCGGGAGGCAGAGGUUGCAACAAGCCAAGAUCGCGCCACUGCACUCCAGCCUGGGCGAUGGAGCAAGACUCUGUCUCAAGAU
rnacentral:sRNA from 1 species